GACGAACGCUGGCGGCGUGCCUAAUACAUGCAAGUAGAACGCUGAAGGCGGAGCUUGCUUCUCUGGAUGAGUUGCGAACGGGUGAGUAACGCGUAGGUAACCUGCCUGGUAGCGGGGGAUAACUAUUGGAAACGAUAGCUAAUACCGCAUAAUAGUAGAUGUUGCAUGACAUUUGCUUAAAAGGUUCAAUUGCAUCACUACCAGUUGGACCUUCGGUGUAUUAGCUAGUUGGUGUGGUAACGGCUCACCAAGGCGACGAUACAUAGCCGACCUGAGAGGGUGAUCGGCCAGACUGGGACGGAGACACGGCCCAGACGGCUACGGGAGGCAGCAGGAGGGAAACUUCAGCAAUGGACGGAAGUCUGAGCGAGAAACGCCGCGUGAGUGAAGAAGGUUUUCGGAUCGGAAAGCACUGUUGUAAGAGAAGAACGAGUGUGAGAGUGGAAAGUUCACACAGUGACGGUAUCUUACCAGAAAGGGACGGCUAACUACGUG
rnacentral:rRNA from 1 species